rnacentral:misc_RNA from 1 species
UUAAGUAUGAAGUUAGCGUUUAAAGAAAUUCUCCUCAUGGUGUAUUAUGUUGGCCUCAUCCCAUUUCAUGUGAUGAUUUUCAGACCAGCAAUGUUGAUCAAUUUAAGAUUCUUCUCCAAUUCUUUGAAAUUUCCGUGGUCAAGAAUUUGAGCAUGGAACCUCUGGUAGAGAGGUUAGUGGAAGCCAACUCGAAGGAGACAAAACGGAUUAGAAAAAUGAUCUUCAAAACAUUUCCAACGGUUCAGAUAAGAAAGGUGGACAGGGUAGAGAACAGCUUUCUGAAAGCUAUGUACUUGUUAAAGAAGGACGAGUACUUGUCCCGCUAUGAAACAGUGGAGGAAAAGGAACUCUUUCAUGUCACUGGUGUUGACAAUGUAAAAUCCAUCACCAAUAACAAUUUUGACUGGCGGAGAGUAUCAAGGGGAUUGUUUGGAAAAGGGACUAGCUUUUCAGGUGAUGCAGAAUAUGCUAAUUGCCAUGCCAACCAUAAUAUUGGAAGUUGUCGAGCAAUUAUUAUUACUAAGGUGUUGGUGUCAAAACAAAUCGGAGGACGCAAGAAUCUUAAAAUUCCUCAGAACAACUAUGAUACUACAACUGGCAAUGGCAAAGUCUAUGUCAAGUUUUGUGACAAUGAAACUCUUCCUACAUACGUGGCAUACUACAAAAUUGGAGGAUUUACAGCUAAAUAUAAAAACACUCAUGCAGUAUUUGACUAUAAUGUUGACGAUGAUUAUUAUAAUGGCUUUGAUUACGAUGAUUAUUACUAUUAAGAUGCUAAUUUUUAUGAUUAUGCCAAAAAUAUUCUACACUUCAUGGAUGUGGUCAUAUAAUUUUUAUCAUUAAGGCAGCAUUAAUGUAAGAAUAAUCUAAACACAUGUGGUUUUGAAUUUUGAGCUUGCUUUUUAUUACAUGAAUAAAGUAUAAA